UACAGAGGGGGCAAGCGUUGUUCGGAAUUACUGGGCGUAAAGGGCGCGUAGGCGGCCUGCUAAGUCGAACGUGAAAUCCCUGGGCUCAACCCAGGAACUGCGUCCGAUACUGGUUGGCUUGAAUCCGGGAGAGGGACGUGGAAUUCCAGGUGUAGCGGUGAAAUGCGUAGAUAUCUGGAGGAACACCGGUGGCGAAGGCGGCAUUCUGGACCAAUAUUGACGCUGAGGAGCGAAAGCCAGGGGAGCAAACGGG
rnacentral:rRNA from 1 species